CCUACGGGUGGCUGCAGUGGGGAAUAUUGGACAAUGGGGGGAACCCUGAUCCAGCCAUGCCGCGUGUGUGAAGAAGGCCCUCGGGUUGUAAAGCACUUUCAGUGAGGAAGAACGCCUGGUGGUUAAUACCCAUCAGGAAAGACAUCACUCACAGAAGAAGCACCGGCUAACUCCGUGCCAGCAGCCGCGGUAAUACGGAGGGUGCGAGCGUUAAUCGGAAUUACUGGGCGUAAAGCGCGCGUAGGUGGCUUGAUAAGCCGGUUGUGAAAGCCCCGGGCUCAACCUGGGAACGGCAUCCGGAACUGUCAAGCUAGAGUGUAGGAGAGGAAGGUAGAAUUCCCGGUGUAGCGGUGAAAUGCGUAGAGAUCGGGAGGAAUACCAGUGGCGAAGGCGGCCUUCUGGACUGACACUGACACUGAGGCGCGAAAGCGUGGGUAGCAAACAGGAUUAGAUACCCUUGUAGUC
rnacentral:rRNA from 1 species